rnacentral:lncRNA from 1 species
AUUCCACAUCCCCCAUCCACUCCCUUUCCAUUCAAUUUGUGGCCCCAUCUACCGUCUUGGUCAGGUCAGCAUCUUCUUUCGUUCGUUCGUUCGUUUGUUCGUUCUGCCUCUGCCUUCGUCUCUCUGCUCGUUUGUUAAAUGUUUGGGUUUUGUUUGAGUUUAUUGAGUGAAUUCCUGGAAAAACGCAGGAAUUUGUCUUUGGUCUUUCGGUUCUGUUUUUUCUCUCUCUCUCUCUCUUCGCC